rnacentral:rRNA from 1 species
GACGAACGCUGGCGGCGUGCUUAACACAUGCAAGUCGAACGAAGAGCGAUGGAAGCUUGCUUCUAUCAAUCUUAGUGGCGAACGGGUGAGUAACGCGUAAUCAACCUGCCCUUCAGAGGGGGACAACAGUUGGAAACGACUGCUAAUACCGCAUACGAUCUAACCUCGGCAUCGAGGAUAGAUGAAAGGUGGCCUCUACAUGUAAGCUAUCACUGAAGGAGGGGAUUGCGUCUGAUUAGCUAGUUGGAGGGGUAACGGCCCACCAAGGCGAUGAUCAGUAGCCGGUCUGAGAGGAUGAACGGCCACAUUGGGACUGAGACACGGCCCAGACUCCUACGGGAGGCAGCAGUGGGGAAUCUUCCGCAAUGGACGAAAGUCUGACGGAGCAACGCCGCGUGAGUGAUGACGGCCUUCGGGUUGUAAAGCUCUGUUAAUCGGGACGAAAGGCCUUCUUGCGAAUAGUGAGAAGGAUUGACGGUACCGGAAUAGAAAGCCACGGCUAACUACGU